rnacentral:rRNA from 1 species
AGUAAAAGUCGUAACAAGGUUUCCGUAGGUGAACCUGCGGAAGGAUCAUUAACGAGUUGAACGGGGUUGUAGCUGGCCUUCACGGGCAUGUGCACACCUCACUCAUCCACUCUACACCUGUGCACUUACUGUGGGUUUCGAGAGGCCGCGCUUGCGUGGUUGAUCGGGCUCACGUCUAUUACAAACUCUUCAGUAUCAGAAUGUGUAUCGCGAUGUAACGCGUCUAUAUACAACUUUCAGCAACGGAUCUCUUGGCUCUCGCAUCGAUGAAGAACGCAGCGAAAUGCGAUAAGUAAUGUGAAUUGCAGAAUUCAGUGAAUCAUCGAAUCUUUGAACGCACCUUGCGCUCCUUGGUAUUCCGAGGAGCAUGCCUGUUUGAGUGUCGUGUAAUUCUCAACCUAUAAAUCCUUGUGGUUUUUAGGCUUGGACUUGGAGGCUUUUGCUGGCUUUACCGUCGGCUCCUCUUAAACGCAUUAGCUUGAUUCCUUGCGGAUCGGCUCUCAGUGUGAUAAUUAUCUGCGCUGUGACCGUGAAGCGUUUGGCGAGCUUCUAACCGUCUCUUCGAGACAAAUACUUUGACAUCUGACCUCAAAUCAGGUAGGACUACCCGCUGAACUUAAGCAUAUCAAUAAGCGGAGGA